AUCGCUUCUCGGCCUUUUGGCUAAGAUCAAGUGUAGUAUCUGUUCUUAUCAGUUUAAAAGACAACUAAAUUCUGGGGAUUUUAUGUACAUCAUGGUGAUUAUAGUUAAGAAUACUGGCCCAUCUGAUGUGGCUCAGUGGUUGAGCAUAGGUGCAUGAACCAGGAGGUCAAGGUUCAAUUUGU